GGGGAUGAUCGGUUUCGACAGCGGCUGUCGAAACAGGGGAAGCGAGCCGAGGAAGCGGCAAUGAUCUCGUAAACCAUAUGUCGCAAAAAAUAAUCGCCAAUACCAAGCGCGAUUCCUCCGCCUUCGCCCUUGCUGCCUGAUUAGCAGCUAGCGAAGACUCCGCGGAGUGUCAGC
rnacentral:tmRNA from 1 species